rnacentral:rRNA from 1 species
GACGAAUGCUGGCGGCGUGCUUAACACAUGCAAGUCGAGCGAGGCCCCUCCUUCGGGAGGGUGUCCUAGCGGCGAACGGGUGAGUAACACGUGGGCAACCUGCCCUCAGCUCUGGGAUAACUCCGGGAAACCGGGGCUAAUACCGGAUACGACCUCCACGGGCAUCUGCGGAGGUGGAAAGUUUUUCGGCUGAGGAUGGGCCCGCGGCCUAUCAGCUAGUUGGUGGGGUAGUGGCCCACCAAGGCGACGACGGGUAGCCGGCCUGAGAGGGCGACCGGCCACACUGGGACUGAGACACGGCCCAGACUCCUACGGGAGGCAGCAGUGGGGAAUAUUGCGCAAUGGGCGAAAGCCUGACGCAGCGACGCCGCGUGAGGGACGAAGGCCUUCGGGUUGUAAACCUCUUUCAGCAGGGACGGAGCGAAAGUGACGGUACCUGCAGAAGAAGCACCGGCCAACUACGUG